rnacentral:misc_RNA from 1 species
AAAAUGCGAUACGUCAUGUGGAUUGCAGAUAACGGUGAAUCAUCGAAUCUUUGAACGCAUCAUGUACUCCUACUACGGAGUACAUCUGUUUGAGUGUCGCACACAUAUCUCUAAAUCUUUUUUUUUUUUUUAAAAAAAAAAAGUAGAUGAGAGUCCAAUUUUUACCCCAAUUGGUCUCUUUAAGUUUUUAAAGUUGAUUAACUGAUUCACUCUCUCUUUUUUUUAAAAGAGAGAGUGGCUUGAAGUAUUUUUUUGGGUCCCCCUUUUAAUUUAAGCAUUUUUUAUUGCCUAUAAUUUGGGAUUGAUCCUUUCUUCUUGAGGUUAAAUAUUAACUUUCUAUUAUAUUAUUCACUUUGUGAAAAAAUAUUUUUCCUUAAAAACGACCUCAAAUCAGAUGAGA